rnacentral:lncRNA from 1 species
GAAGCUUCAUGGUGUUGGAGCCACCUUUUACAGUUGUUUACAAAGUUUCCCCUUGUCACAGAAAACAUUGGUUGCAAAGCCCCUCAAAGCCCCUCAAGUGCCUUCUGUGAGUUUAAAUGUGCUGGUGCCCUCCAGAAACGCCUCGGCCUCAGCUCCAUUUCUGCCUCUUCCCUCCCCUGGGAUAAUGAACGGUUACUGCACUGUGAAGACCAUGGCCUCUUUUCACUACAUAUGAGAUUCGAGUUUCCCAGUUUACAUGGAUAAAGUCUGAAUUUAAGAAGGUGAUGAAACCGAGGUUCAGUACUCUGGGGACUCGAGGCAAUUAUUCCUAAGACAUGGAGUAAUUCUUAUCAAUUUAAACUAUUGGACAGAUCACGUACAUGUUGUUAAGUACCUAAUGUUUUGCUGAACUUUAAAAGUUAAUUUCCAAAAUGUAUAGGAAUUCAUGAUAAUUAAACCUUUUUAUUGCUCAUUUUUUUAGUAGAAGAAUAUGACUUACUUUUAGACUUAUAAAAUGUAUGAACUGGUGAAUGGACAUCUGUUAAGAGAGUAACUGGUCAGAAUUUUAAAGGAGUGCAUGAAGAAUGCCCCAGAUAUCAUUAACUCUUGUGACUCCUGUAUGUGAUGGUAUAAGCAUGUGACUUUUAACACUGUUUGGUUUGAAACUAAUGUAGAGAUGUCUGAUUCCAAACAGUGGGUGUGGAGAAUAUUGAAUAGCUUAGAAGCCGCGUCCCUUACUGAACAAAUUCCGAAUCUCCCUCAUCCGUGACGCGUCCGUUGGAUCACUUGAUGGUGGUCACUGUGUGGCAGAGUUAUUAGGGGAAUUCUGCCUCUGUUUUUUUUUCUUUUGGUCUUUAAACACCCUGUCAUGGGAUGUGCUCACUGAUUUGUGGCUUCGUUGAAGGUAUCACUUGUCUUGCGGGUUUUCAAUAUUUCAGGAUCACGCCGGUGGCAGCAGGACUCCACGCCUGCAUGGAAUCGCGUCCGCGGGGGGACCUGCCUCCCGUGAUGUCCCACUUUUCCUUCAAGCUCUGUCAUAUGAGUCCUCCCCUUUUACAACACUUAUUAUGGUAUUUUUCAAGUUAUUCAUCUUAGAUUUGCAGUACCUGCUGACAUUUGUGUUUUUAUAGUUGAAGUUAUGAAAAUGCUAUUUGAUUUGUAUUUAGAUAUUUAAGUCACUUGUCCAAUGACGUGUAUGUCUAAGCCUCAUGUACCGAUUUGAAGUCAGACUUAAAAAUGUAUUUACAGAUUCACUUGUGACUUUUUAGUCAGUUCUUCAAAUAUGUCAUGUUUACAUUAAAAAUUUCCAGAGA